rnacentral:rRNA from 1 species
UAUACGACCGUACCGCAAACCGACACUGGUGCGCGAGAUGAGUAUUCUAAGGCGCUUGAGAGAACUCAGGAGAAGGAACUCGGCAAAUUGACACCGUAACUUCGGAAGAAGGUGUGCCCUAUUAGUGUGUAGUGAACAACGAAGCAUGAAUGGGUUGCAAAAAAUCGGUGGCUGCGACUGUUUAUUAAAAACACAGCACUCUGCAAACACGAAAGUGGACGUAUAGGGUGUGACGCCUGCCCGGUGCUGGAAGAUUAAAUGAUGGGGUGCAAGCUCUUGAUUGAAGUCCCAGUAAACGGCGGCCGUAACAAUAACGGUCCUAAGGUAGCGAAAUUCCUUGUCGGGUAAGUUCCGACCUGCACGAAUGGCGUAACGAUGACCACACUGUCUCCUCCUGAGACUCAGCGAAGUUGAAAUGUUUGUGAUGAUGCAAUCUCCCCGCGGAAAGACGGAAAGACCCCAUGAACCUUUACUGUAGCUUUGUAUUGGACUUUGAACAGAUCUGUGUAGGAUAGGUGGGAGGCUUUGAAGCAGGGUCGCUAGAUCUUGUGGAGCCAACGUUGAAAUACCACCCUGGUGUGUUUGAGGUUCUAACCUAGGUCCAUUAUCUGGAUCGGGGACAGUGCAUGGUAGGCAGUUUGACUGGGGCGGUCUCCUCCCAAAGCGUAACGGAGGAGUUCGAAGGUACGCUAGUUACGGUCGGACAUCGUGACGAUAGUGCAAUGGCAUAAGCGUGCUUAACUGCGAGACUGACAAGUCGAGCAGAUGCGAAAGCAGGACAUAGUGAUCCGGUGGUUCUGUAUGGAAGGGCCAUCGCUCAACGGAUAAAAGGUACUCUGGGGAUAACAGGCUGAUACCGCCCAAGAGUUCAUAUCGACGGCGGUGUUUGGCACCUCGAUGUCGGCUCAUCUCAUCCUGGGGCUGUAGCCGGUCCCAAGGGUAUGGCUGUUCGCCAUUUAAAGAGGUACGUGAGCUGGGUUUAAAACGUCGUGAGACAGUUUGGUCCCUAUCUUCCGUGGGCGCUGCAGAUUUGAGGAAGCCUGCUCCUAGUACGAGAGGACCGGAGUGGACACACCUCUGGUGUAUCGGUUGUCACGCCAGUGGCAUUGCCGAGUAGCUAAGUGUGGAAGAGAUAACCGCUGAAAGCAUCUAAGCGGGAAACUCGUUUCAAGAUGAGAUCUGCCGGGGCCUUGAGCCCCCUAAAGAGUCGUUCAAGACCAGGACGUUGAUAGGUCAGGUGUGGAAGC